rnacentral:rRNA from 1 species
UACGUAGGGUGCAAGCGUUAAUCGGAAUUACUGGGCGUAAAGCGUGCGCAGGCGGCUAUGCAAGACAGAUGUGAAAUCCCCGGGCUCAACCUGGGAACUGCAUUUGUGACUGCAUGGCUAGAGUACGGUAGAGGGGGAUGGAAUUCCGCGUGUAGCAGUGAAAUGCGUAGAGAUCCGGAGGAACACCGACGGCGCAGGCAGCGUCCUGGCCGCUUGCUGACACUGAGGCACGAAAGCUGGGGGAGCAAACAGG